AUCUGUGGAACAAGAUGGUGAGGGAUCAGGACCACUCUCACCUGGCCAACAAGGGCCUGCAGUUACCCCUGCCUACCACAGGGGGCAGUGCCACACCACCUCCUAGGAGCCCCAGCCCAAGAUGAGGAGGACAACUGACCCUCUAGAAGGUAAGGAGGUGGAGAGGUUCUUCCCCAACCCAAAUUUAAACGAGUAUUUUUUCCUUUGGCUCCAAAAGGCUAUUCCACAAAUCAUGUUCCUAAAUUACAUUCAGGGUGAGCUCCGUCUAGUGGACAGCCAACAUUUAUAGAGUGCUUCCUCUCUGUACUUUAGUUAUGAGUACUCUGAACAAAUAAUCUCAGGUCACUUUUUUGUUUGUUUGUUUAUGGGGCCAGGUGGUGACAUAGUUGGUUAAGUGCACAUGUUUCCAUGCUCCAGGAUCUUUGUCAAGCCCCUGGUCCCCACCUGCAAGGGGAAAGCUUCGCAAGUGGUGAAGGAACUGUAGGUGUCUCUGUCUUCUUUCUUUGUCCACCUUCCCUCAUCAAUUGCUCUCUGUCCUAUCAAACUGAAUAAAUAAAGUUAAAAAAAUAAAAAAGUAUUUCAAGGGGGCUGGGUGAUGACACACCUGGUUGAGCACACAUGUCACAGUGCUCAAGGACCCCAGUUCAAGCCCCCAGUCUCCACCUGCAGGAGGAAAACUUUUCCAAUGGUGAAGAAGGGGUGCAGGUGUCUCUCUGUCGCGCGCUCUCUCUCUCUUUUUUUUUUUUUUUUGCCUCCAAGGUUAUUGCUGGGGCUCAGUGCCUGCACUACAAAUCCACUGCUCCUGGAGGCUAUUUUUCCCAUUUUGUUGCCCUUGUUGUUGUGCUUGUUGUAGUUGUUAUUGUUGUCAUAGCUGUUGUUGUUGUUGGAUAGGACAGAGAGAAAUGGAGAGAGGAGGGGAAGAAAGAGAGGAGGAGACAAAGAUAGACACCUGCAGACCUGCUUUACCGCUUGCGAAGCGAUUUCCUACAAGUGGGGAGCUGGGGGCUCGAACCAGGAUCCUCACGCCAGCCCUUACGCUUUGCGCCACUGUGCACUUAACCCGCUGUACUACUGCACGACUCCCUCUCUGUUUUUAUCUCCCCCUUCCUCUCAAUUUCUGGCUGUCUAUCAAAGAUAAUAAAAAAUUAAAAGAAAAUA